UACGAAGGGGGCUAGCGUUGCUCGGAAUCACUGGGCGUAAAGGGUGCGUAGGCGGGUUUUUAAGUCAGGGGUGAAAUCCUGGAUCUCAACUCCAGAACUGCCUUUGAUACUGAAGAUCUUGAGUCCGGGAGAGGUGAGUGGAACUGCGAGUGUAGAGGUGAAAUUCGUAGAUAUUCGCAAGAACACCAGUGGCGAAGGCGGCUCACUGGCCCGGUACUGACGCUGAGGCACGAAAGCGUGGGGAGCAAACAGG
rnacentral:rRNA from 1 species